rnacentral:tRNA from 1 species
GACCGUGUAUAGCUCAGUUGGCAGAGCAUUGGGCUAGUAUUCCAAAGGUCGUAGGUUCGAAUCCCACCGUGGCCG